rnacentral:rRNA from 1 species
CCUACGGGGUGCAGCAGUGGGGAAUAUUGGACAAUGGGCGAAAGCCUGAUCCAGCCAUGCCGCGUGUGUGAAGAAGGCCUUCGGGUUGUAAAGCACUUUCAGUGGGGAAGAAAGCCUUGGGGCUAAUACCCUCGAGGAAGGACAUCACCCACAGAAGAAGCACCGGCUAACUCCGUGCCAGCAGCCGCGGUAAUACGGAGGGUGCGAGCGUUAAUCGGAAUUACUGGGCGUAAAGCGCGCGUAGGCGGUCUGAUAAGCCGGUUGUGAAAGCCCCGGGCUCAACCUGGGAACGGCAUCCGGGCGAGCAGGGCGAGGGGGGAGGGGAGGAAGGUAGAACCCCGGGGGGGGGGGGGAAAUCGGACGAGGACGGGAGGAAUCCCAGGGGGAGGGGGGGCCUUGUGGACUGACCGUGCCGCGGGGGUGCGAAGGGGGGGUAACAAACCAGGAUUGAAUACCCUAGUCUUC